UUCUAGGGUUUCAAUUUUCAAUCUCAAGAGGAAAAUGUUGAAGCGGAAGGCGUCACAGAAGAAGAUGUUCUCCCCAUCAUCUCCGGUACGAGCCCUUCAAGGCCAUCACCGACCACAAUCCAAGCGGUCGUCAUCAGGUUGACCCAAAUUUCAAAAGAGGCGGAGCAGACCACACUCACCACAGUAGUGAUCCAUUUGAGGCUACGUCACCGAGCUUCGUCACAAACCUACAAUCUCGAUGCGAAUCUCUGCCUUCUUCGUCUCUAUCAGAGUAGGAAAGGAAUCAACUUCCGGUGGGAGAGAAGGAAAGGAAUCAAAUACAAUAGAUAAAGUGACUAGCGUUGGCCGGCCUUGGUUUCAUGCAAAUAUAAAUGUUUUAGUCCUAGACAGUGAAGGAGAUGCUGAAUAUUUUACAGGUUAUGACUCAGACAGUUGGGUGCAAGCCUCAAGCAUACAAGCUAGAAAUUCUCAGAGAUAUC